GCCCCAGUGGCGCAAUGGACUAGCGCGUUGGACUUCUAAUUCAAAGGUUGUGGGUCUGACUCCCAUCUGGGGUG
rnacentral:tRNA from 1 species